rnacentral:rRNA from 1 species
AGUCAAGUAAUUAAGUGCAUGUGGUGGAUGCCUUGGCAGUCAGAGGCGAUGAAAGACGUGAUAGCCUGCGAAAAGCUCCGGGGAGGCGGCAAAUAUCCUUUGAUCCGGAGAUGUCUGAAUGGGGGAACCCACCUACUUUAAGGUAGGUAUCGCAACAUGAAUACAUAGUGUUGCAAGGCGAACGAGGGGAAGUGAAACAUCUCAGUACCCUUAGGAAAAGAAAUCAAUUGAGAUUCCCUCAGUAGCGGCGAGCGAACGGGGAUCAGCCCAUUAAGUUAUGUGUGUUUUAGUGGAACGCUCUGGGAAGUGCGAACGUAGAGGGUGAUAUUCCCGUACACGAAAGGGCACACAUAAUGAUGACGAGUAGGGCGAGGCACGUGAAACCUUGUCUGAAUAUGGGGGGACCAUCCUCCAAGGCUAAAUACUCCUGACUGACCGAUAGUGAACCAGUACCGUGAGGGAAAGGCGAAAAGAACCCCUGUGAGGGGAGUGAAAUAGAUCCUGAAACCGCAUGCAUACAAGCAGUGGGAGCACCUUCGUGGUGUGACUGCGUACCUUUUGUAUAAUGGGUCAGCGACUUAUAUUCAGUAGCGAGGUUAACCGUAUAGGGGAGCCGUAG